GACGAACGCUGGCGGCGUGCCUAAUACAUGCAAGUUGAGCGCUGAAGGUUGGUACUUGUACCAACUGGAUGAGCAGCGAACGGGUGAGUAACGCGUGGGGAAUCUGCCUUUGAGCGGGGGACAACAUUUGGAAACGAAUGCUAAUACCGCAUAAAAACUUUAAACACAAGUUUUAAGUUUGAAAGAUGCAAUUGCAUCACUCAAAGAUGAUCCCGCGUUGUAUUAGCUAGUUGGUGAGGUAAAGGCUCACCAAGGCGAUGAUACAUAGCCGACCUGAGAGGGUGAUCGGCCACAUUGGGACUGAGACACGGCCCAAACUCCUACGGGAGGCAGCAGCAGGGAAUCUUCGGCAAUAGACGAAAGUCUGACCGAGCAACGCCGCGUGAGUGAAGAAGGGUUUCGGAUCGUAAAACUCUGUUGGUAGAGAAGAACGUUGGUGAGAGUGGAAAGCUCAUCAAGUGACGGUAACUACCCAGAAAGGGACGGCUAACUACGUG
rnacentral:rRNA from 1 species